UACGUAGGGGGCAAGCGUUGUCCGGAAUCAUUGGGCGUAAAGAGCGUGUAGGCGGCCCGGUAAGUCCGUUGUGAAAGUCCAGGGCUCAACCCUGGAAUGCCGAUGGAUACUGCCGGGCUAGAGUUCGGAAGAGGCGAGUGGAAUUCCUGGUGUAGCGGUGGAAUGCGCAGAUAUCAGGAGGAACACCUAUAGCGAAGGCAGCUCGCUGGGACGGAAGCUGACGCUAAGGCGCGAAAGCGUGGGGAGCGAACA
rnacentral:rRNA from 1 species